AAAACACCUUGUUGGGUGAGGUUACUUUCGAAACACAGGCUGGUGCCCAAAAACAUCGAGAGAUGCCAAUGGGUAAAGCAGGUAUUGUCGGCUUAAGGCUUUACCAAUUCAGCUGAAUGGAGCAGGAUCCAUUCUACGUUCGAUCGUGCCAAAACUGAACGAGGAGAGUGUUCA
rnacentral:sRNA from 2 species